AUGCAGCAGCAGGGCAUGGGGAGGCAUUUGGCUAGUUGAGAGUGGAUGCUCGGAUUUUGGGUGUCUUAGACAGCUGGAGCUGCUUCACCCUGAUCCUGCUGCAGGAAAUGGCCUUGGAGCAAGUCCAGGUCAGACUGUUGUCCUCAGCCACCUAAAUCCCAUUAGUGGGGCUUAAGCUAGGAACAGUUUCAGUUCUAUGCCAGAUAAUAGUCACAGCAGUUGUUUUUUUUUCCUUUCUUUUUUUCUCCAUCCAUUAUUUAGAUUAGGUUUUGCAUAAAUAAAUACCACACUGAACAGCUUUUAUAGCUGUUUUGUUAUGAGGCUGAGGGGGGUAAGAUGCACCUUUCCAAAAAGAAAAGGAAAUAAAAAAGAAACAAUAUAUUGAGUGUUUUUGUUUUUAGCCAGUCUCCAGGCAACUCCUGGCUGAGGGCAAAGCUACAUUAAAUUUUGUAGAAGCAGACUGUUAUAUAUACACCCUAGGAGCUAUUUUUAAAACAUGUACAUCUACCAUACCUCACAUCUGACAGCGUUAUUUGAAUCUAGGCUAUUCAUUGGGAAAAAGCAGCUAAUUAAUUUAUCUCAUGAAUAUCAAAUAUGCAAUUAGUCACACUGCACUUGCUAUUCCAGCCACUAUCCACCUAUGCAGGCUCUUUACUGCCAACAAUGACUCUGGGAAAUGAGUACCAUUCAGUGCCUGACCUGCCGUAGAAAGACAGACACAAAUGAGUUUACCAUAUGCUGUUGAAUAUUGUGCUUAUAAUUCUUGUGUGUGUGCAUGCAUGUGUGUGUGUGUGCAGUCAGCUAAUGGGUUCUCUUCCAUCGUAACAAUGUGAGGAAAUUAAAGGAGUGUUCAGAAGAUAAAUAAUACUGUAGUCUCAAAGCCUUCAGAUUACUAUUUCUAUCCAAAGAUAAUUCUAAGGAAACACACCCCUGUGUAUUUCUCCAUGUGAACUGUUGGUAAGACAAAGAGGCAACAGCCUAAAAUUGCAGGCAGGAAGAUUAAAGUUAGAUGAUAGAUGAAAACCUUCAAAACAGUAAUAAUGGUUACACAUUGUUAAACAGAUAUUCAAGGGGAAACUGCAGUCUCUGCUGCUGGUGCUUGCUAUGGAGCAAUGUGAUGGGCGCUGAGGAGAGCAGUUCAGGCGUGGGUGGUCAUGUCCUGGAGAGUGAAGGCAAGGUAUACAAAUUCUCAGUCUUCUUUCCAACAUUAUGGCUACAUGGUCUUCAAAAACUUCACCACGUUUGGCAGCUGGAUUGCUCUUCUCAGUAGCAGACUUGAGGAUCAAAUAAGCUUGCAAGCUGAACUAGUGGAUGAAGUUGAAGCACAUUUAUGCAGUACUGUGAAGCAAACGUCAUUGCCGUUGCCCUUGAGAUAUUUAUGAUUAAGUACAAUUUCCCACGCUGGCAAAUCUAAUGCCUUUUUUAGUAACGCUAACUUCUGUUGUUCGAUGGCUAGCUCCUAAGGUAUAACCUUGGAGAAGCUUCUGGAUGUUGAAUGAUUUUAAAGAUCAGUAAAUGUUACUGUAAUUGUAGGAGAGUCUUGCAAGAUGGGGACCAGCUCAAUUCACUGUGCUGCUUUGGCAGCAUAGCAAUUACAAAUUGUUUCUCUCUGAAGCAUUGAAAGGCAUUGUACUUUUAAUCUGCACUGGAGCCUUUGGUCACAAAUCUUGCAAUUUGUGGUAGAAUCUAAACUAAUAAAGCAUUACAAAGAAGGCAGAGAAGUUCCAGAACUUUUUCAAACUCUUCAUCUUUGCUUGAGGGCACAGUUUACAGAGGUGAUAUGGGGUAACCAUGAGAAAUGGGCUGCAAUUCCUAUGCAUUUCCAUCAGCUCUGGAGUGCAAAUAUGGAAACUCCUCCAUCUGUGCCAACCUCUGAUAAGGAGGCUGUGGAACAGGGGUGAUAAGAGGCAGCUCCUGCUCCUGUGAAGCCUCACUAUCCACAUCUCAAGUAUGUGCCUCUGGGUAUUCCUUUCCUCUUCCAAGGCUCAUGCUGCUCUUACAGGCAGCAGCACUUGUGUGUUGUAUUGAAGGCUUGGCUUGUGUUGUUUUCCCAGCCAUCAGUGACUCCCAAAGUAGGCACCUUGAUUUCCUCUUGCUAGAUUGGGCAGGCAGGAUGUGACCGACUGCAUUGUCUCACAUGUCUGAACAGCACUGCUGUUCAAGGUGAGGGUUAUGUACAUUGCAGAGUUUGGGUCUCUGUUGUGAGCCCUGGCCUCUGUUCUGAAUCCUCUCUGGGAACAGAAGAGCACGAUCACAAUGUGUUUUGGGUUCAUACCUCAGGGACCUAGCAGUCUCAACAGUAUAAUUCAGGGAUUUUAACAGCAACUUUUUCAGCUUUAACAACUGCUCUGAAAGUCAAAUCUAAUCUCUUAAAGUGCUAAAUGUAAACAAAUGCCAGCCUGCAUAAAAAUGUGUUGUUGUUUGUUUGUUUUUUUUUUUAACUAAACAUAAAGGAAAUGCUUUAUAAAAAACAAUUUUCUUUAAACCCUUAAGGGAUACUAAUUACUUUUAAUUUCAAUGUGUGAUGGUCCUUAGCUAAGGGAGGUAUGCUGCACGGACCGUAAAGCAUUUUUAUAUCAUAUAGCAUUUAACAGAGCAUGUCUGAAGUUAGCUGAGCGGCCUCCCCGGUUCUCUGAGCUCUAUUAUCCUUCACCGUGAUUAAACAUGCAGUGCCUCACUGCCUGAUCUUGAAGGGCAUUUAGGAGAGUUAACUGAACUUUGCUUCCCUACCUGCCUGAGUCAUUACGUUUCCCUCUGUGCUUGCUAUAUCAACUUUGCAGCUGAGCAUCACUCUGCCUAGGGGAGGUCAGAAGGUACUUAUGGCCAUGCAGAUGCAGUCUGUGUCUUUUUUGCUGUUCCCAGUGCAGGAAGAUCAGCUCCAGUGAAAGCUGUCGUGACCAUGGUUGUGAGUAGCCAGGAGUCGUUGCUCUGGAGGUUACUUUCCAAGUCAUUCAUGAGGCUGAUGUAAAUUACUCCCCCCUCUUCAGAAGAAGCCUCACAUUCUCUCUAGAAAGAUGUGAUGAUGGCAGUUUCCCAACUUCCUCUUAUUUCCUCCACAAAUCAGCAACUGUAGAGCAAAGCUUGGGAAUUUGCUGGCUCUGCUUGGAUUUGAAUCUCAUAGAAUUCGAGGCCAACCCAUACUUCCAUUUCUUCUAGGAAGACAGCAUUUUUGCAGUGUUUUCAUGUUGAUGGUGUUCCUGCUCCCUUCUCAUCACAGUUCUAUAUGAAAUGGAGUAGUUAGAUAUCCACAGUUAGGGAGACGGAUGAACAUGUGUAUUUGACCAUAACAUUAAAUUAACAAUACAACCAUAUUCUGUCAGCAUUAGAGCAGCAGCUCACCACAUCUGCAUUCCUAGAAAGCUGCUACUGCCACUCUUGAACGCUCAAGCAUCAUAUCCUUUAAACCUUCAGUCUGUUGCUUAGGUAGCAGCCUGUUCUCCUUUUCUGUGAGGAAAUCUCUUAAGAUAUUGUAGAUAUUACCAAAAAUAAAUAACCACGUUCAUAAACUGUUUACUGUGCACCUUUAUGAGUAUUGUGCAUGCUUCUGUAAGUGCAUUCACUUAAAGGAACCUCUGGAAAUAAGCACAGGCUUUAGUAGUGAAACUUAGGCAUAGAAUCUGGAAAACGUUAGGUGAUGGUUUCUCAUUCAUGCCUCUAAAGGUGGUCUGGACAUCUUCCCAUUUUCAGACAUCCCUGCUUUUGGUGAAGCGUCUGUAGCAUCUAUUGGUGAAGCAACUCUGUGAAGCACCUGAUUGUGCUGAAGGGAUGGGCCUCAUAUGGUCUGGUUCAUUCAGACUGAUUGUUUUGAAACUUCUGAUGCUAAUCCUGUUUCAGAGCAGAAAUGAGCACACAGGAAUAUGUAUCCAAAUAUUGCAAUUUUAUGUAGGGGAAAUGUGUUGAUGCCUUUUUACAGGUAGAUAAAGAGCAUAAGGUAAUUUUGCACUGACUUUAAACUGACUCAGGUUCUUAGUGCCAUUGAAAUGUGAUUCCAUCCUGAAAACAUAGCUUCUUAUUUUUCCAGCCAGCCUGAUUUAAGUGACUUAAAUGUCUUUUGCCUUCUCCUAUAGCAGGACCAAUUAGACCUACACGUGUGAUUGCGCUCAUGGAAGUACAUAAGCAGUACUGAUAACACCAGGAAAAAUGUCUGAUAAAGGAUAAGCAGCUACUGUUAUGGCUAAGAAUAUGAAUGUUGUUUUGCCUCACAGUGCCUAUGGUUAAAUGAUUGCUAUUUAAAGACAAGGAAAGAUUUAUAUUUCAUCAGCGGAAUAAAUAAAAAUGCCCCCUCUGAAACAUGUAGGAAAAUGGAACCUUCACUUCUCAGUGACCUCCAACCUUGCUCAUAAGCUCAGCACAGGUUAUUAUGUUAAAAUCUGCAGAGACCCAGAAUAUCUUUGUCACAGUAAUGGCUUCCAGUUGCUCUUCAGCCUAAAUAGGAUCUGAAGCAGUGACCAGCAGAUGAAAGUCUCUCUCUGCCAUUUUCAACCCCGUAACCCACCUGGCCAAUUUCAGCAUUUAUUUUUCAGAAAUUAAUUUUUUUUUUUUAAAAGCAAUUGUUUUUGCAAACAGCCCUUUGAAUUCUGUCCCAGUGGCAUUUUAGAGCAUUACUGCAAAUUAUUCAAUUUAUAUGCAUAGUCAAGCCUACAUCAUUAUUCCCACAUUCUACUAAGGCAGGAAGAGGAAAAAAAAUACUCAGAAAAGAAAGACCAAAAAAAACCUCAAGCAAAGACAAAAUUAGACUGCUCUUCUAGAAAAAACAUUUUUCACCGUGCUCAAAAUAAACCUAAAACCCCUCCGUCAAUGUGAUCUUUUCUGGAAAGUCAUUGUAAGCAAGGAUUCAAGUGACUGCAGUAAAACUCAAGAGAUGCACUGUAUUAUGAACGCUAAUUAAUGCGAGUAUUAAUGUUUUUGGCUUUAGAUGAGAUGAUCCAGCAUUCUGAAAAAUUAAGAAAAACAAUUACAGAGACUUACACACAUACCUGAACAUGUUCCAACUUAGCAGCUAAUUAUUCACAGAAUAAUUGGCUGCUCAUUCACAUCCUAUGAGUUUCAGAGCCUUUUAACUAGGUAGGUAUUGCUUUCUUUUAUGCAUUGUUUUGUGGUUCAUGCUUCUGAUGGGAAAGAUGAAGUAAGGCCAGUGCGGUUAGCCUCAGGAAAGACACAAGGCAUGGGACCGUUCCUCCGGCAACCGUAAACUAUUUGAGGGGUUCACUGUUCUUCCCAUGUUCUGUGUCUGAUCCUCUGGAAACAUCCAGGUGUGAAACUGCAUCUUACAGCCGCGACUCCUCUUUCUCUUCAUUUUAAUUUGAAUGUAAAAGGAACCCAGGCGCAGCCGGUGGACCACCUUGUUGCUGUCGGGAGUGCUGAGAUAAUUCAAAUCAGAAACGUGCUACUCAUGAAAGCAACAGGAACGUCUGUGGUUGUGGAGCUGAGAGUCAUAAGUCAUUGUGAUGCACACUCCAAGAGUUGGUCAGAUUUACUGGUCAACAAACUUGAAAGUAUUACUGGUGGCUUUCUCAAAUGCAGUUAGAGAAAUGCUAGAGCACUGGAGAAAAUCCAUUCCAAAUUGCCUGCAGGGACAAAAGCCCUUCACUUCAGCUCAGAGAAGGGGGAAGUUUGAUGCUUUUGGCUUGAAGUGUUUGAGCUGGCUGAGACGAGUGAUAAGACAUAAAACAGGAGGAGUCUGAGGGGAGUAAGACCUGCAGCCGUGCCCACAGAAGAGCUGUUCCAGCAGCGUGCUCUGCAUCUCCUUCCUCUUUGUGAAGCAUGGAGAAGCACAGGUUUCUUAAAAGGACUUUGGAGAUAGAGAAGCUGCUGCUGGCUUGCAUCUCAGCAGAAAGGCUUGAGCCAUUUUGGUUCGUUCCUGCAAGUUUUGCCUGUGGUCUGCAGAAGACAUGAGGAAGGUGUGUAGCUAGCUGCCUGAUGUUUACCUGGAGUAAAAGGGCAUCAGCUGCAAAGUGCUUUUUCUUCACUAUGCCCUGCUUUGAGAAAUUUGAGAAAGCUCUUUGCUGGGAGGCAGUUUUGAGUUACUUUUUGCUGGCUUUUCUGAUUUAGUUUACUUAGAGAAACUAGCCAGUGAUUACAAGUUGGUAAGGUCUCACACGAGGUCUGGACCAGCUGCUCCACAGCCAGAUAAGCUGCUGGCUGAUAAUGGCUCUUGGCUGCUGCUGACCUGGGCUGGGUUUGGGCCGUAGCUUUGUUCUGUAAUGAGCGAUCCCACAAGCCAUCCAGUCUCCAAAACUAGGCUCUUUAAAUUUUCAAGUGCGCUUCUAAGACCUAGCUCACAUUGUUUAUGGAGCUAAUUGCCCUCAAGUUCACCUUGGGCCUAAUUGGCUUACUGGCUUAAUUAACAAAAUGCUUAUUAAUGUCUAGUGGUAAUUAAUUUUCAAGGGAUUAUUUUCUAUUAAGAUCAUGAGUACAUUAUUAAUGUUGUGCAACUGUGAUUCUGGAAAGCCAGCGGGUGUGGGGUGUGGAGUUUUCUUUUAUGUACAUAGCAAAAUUUAUUUCUUUGGUCAUGUCGUGCUGAUUUGCCCUGUAGUUAUGUUAAUUAGCAUCUGUAUAAAACCAAGAACUGUAUACUGAGAUUAGGGUCGCUUUGGAAACAAUGGCAUGAUAGCUUUUACUGGGCUUGCAUAAAUCAUAAUGGGCUGAAGGAGCAAAUAAAAGGUGUUUGUCUGAUAACAUGGUAUCUUACUAAUAAAAGAUAUCUUUUGGAAUGGCAAUGAGCUUACAUUUUACAAAGUCAAGUGAAUUGACUUGGUAUUUUAAUAUGUGUACAUGCAUGAAAAUUGGAAUAUGGACAAUAGAUCCCAGACCUAGCUGUAAUCCACUAGCUCAUUUCAUAAUGCCACAGCUCUUUCAUAUUUCACUUGCGUGUCUUAUUCCCAUGCAGAAAAUCUGGGAGUACUGGGAAAGGCCAAGCACCCCUCUAGCCCCGUGUCAGUAGUAAGUGCUUAGAGGAACGAUAUAAACACAGGGUAAGUUACAAAGACAUAACCUCCUCGGACACAAAUUCUCUGCUUUCAGCCACCUAUGGCUUUCAGGACUUUCUGAAGAAAGACAGAAUGUGAUAACCGGCAGUCAUUGACAGGUUCUUCUUUCUGUGAGUUUUAUCUGUUUUGAACACAUUGAUACUUUGUGUAGCUGCACAUCCCGUGGCAGUGAGCUCCCCAGCGUGUGCACGGCUUGAAAAAUCCUGCCUCUCCUUUCUUCUAAAACAUUUAUGUGCUAUUUCUUUUUAAUGCUCUCUACUUCUUUUGUUCCAAGAAACUGUGACUCGUUCAUCUCCAAGCAGUUUGGGAUUGUAAAGGGAUUUCUGCUAGCAGCACACCGGCUUCUCUUUCACACUUGAAGAAUCCCAGUUACUCAGACCUCACACUUACCUCACCACAUCCUCGGUGCUUCAAGUUUGAAAAUAAAAGUUUUACUAGGAUGUAUGAGAAAGGUGUGUAAAAUCAGAGGGAGGCAGAUGCAAGUUUUGGUUUAGAGACUCCCUGAGCAGCACAUUGCCGGGUGAGAUGAAGUAUGCUGGUCCUCCUCUUGGCCUGGUUUUCACAUUAUCCACUAUUUAUCAUUCCCAGAGGCAGGGUCCUCGGUUGGAAGGGUCUUUGCUUCCAGUGUGCCACUUUCAUGUUUUGCUGUGUUUCUUGACCUUCUACCGGUUCUACAGAUUCUCUCUCACGCUUCCUUUUCUUGAUAUAUUUGGAAAUGUUGCUAUCAUAUUCUUUAAUACUCUCUUCCCCCAACCUUAUUAUCACUGUAUACGCCUUUCUUCAGUUUUCUUCUUUGUACAAGAAACAAGCUUUCACGUUUUCAGAUAUAAUGUUUUACUUCUGCUGUCUUCCUUACUUUGCAUUUUACUGUGACAGCUCUUCUCUGGGGGAGGUGGGAGGGAGUUGCUUUGUUGGUGGGUUGUUUGGUUUUUUUUUUUGUUAAGUGGUGUACAUUUUGGCAUUUGUUAGUGUGGGUCAGUGCCAAAAGACUGAAAAAUCUUUUUGACCCUCAGUAAAGAACAAAUUCUUCACCUCUGCUUUGCAAGAGUGAAACAAAACAAAACCAGUAUGUUUUGUUUUCUUGUUCGCUGUUUGUGUGGCAUUUUGGCAGCUGAGUCAGCUGUAUCUGGAAUUGUAUCUCGAAGCUUGAGAGAUUUGGAAAUAGAAAUGAGAAGACAGGAGUUCACACCUCCUGAGAUCCACCACCACCAUUAAGUUCACGUAAGAUUCACUGAUCUCGCCUGAACAGCUGGUGAGAGCCCGAUGAGCUGCUCAGGCUCUGUGACGGCUGUCUGCCAGCGGGAGAGCAUCACCCUCAGCAUCUCCAGUAGCAAAUUCUGCCAGCACAUUAUGGGGGAUACUGGCAGUGGGCUGCAUCCCUACCGCAUAUCUAUCUCCAGCACUAUGGAGCUGUGGACACCUAUUUUGUUCCAUGUUUUGUUACUGAAAUACACCAUUAUAAUAACAAUAACAAUAGUAUCAGCAGUUUCGUGUCAGUGAUAAGAAGUGCCACCUGUGAGUUAACAUGAAAUAUGUUAAUCACCUUCCCACACCAGGCAAACAUUUGCAUUUAAUUUUCUUCUACAGUUUUAUAAUAGAAGCUUAAUUUUCCUCCCUCCCCCUGCUUUUACAGAGCAUACACUAUUAAAUAACCAAGAGCAAUCAUCCAAGUGCGAAUGCAAUAGAAAGCUCCGUUCACAUUUAUUAUGCAAACAUGAAAGGGAAGGUUUAAUAUAAACUCCAUUGCAAAAUAAGGCAAAUAUAUUCAGCUAGCAUGUAAUUGCAUUUACAUUUUAUAACUUAACUGGUAUUGUGAGAUGCAUACUAUGAAUGAGUCACUGACUUUUACGUACUGUCCCAUUAUUAUUAAUAACCUCUAUUUCUAUAAUGUCUUCCAUCCCGAUUGGUCUCAGCCAAUGAACAUGUUCCUAGUGUAUAUAUUGGGACAACUCUGCUGCUGUAAGGACACGACACUGCAGUUGCCUUGCUUUGCACAGUAACUCUUGGGGGCAAGAAGCAAACAGUAACGCUGUGUGGUUUAAACUGCAGGAGUACAUGUGGCAAUGCAUUAUCAUUUGGCCUGGUAUCUUGGUGAAGUGCUGCUUCACACAAUAUCCCUAUUAAUUACCAAGCAAUCCAUGCCUUUUACCUGGGUGGGAGAUGUUGCACUAACACAUGAGCACAGCAGACAGUCAGAGCAGUGAGUUUGUUGCAGUGGGUGCCCACGGGAACGGAGCCCUAGGAUAUAGGUUGCUUUGGGAGAAGGCUGCCUCAUCCCUGUCGCCUGGUCCAGGAGUGGGGCAGGUCUGUUUUCCCAAGCCAUGUACACAGGCAGCUGAUGCCUCAUCAUUGCUCAGAUGGGUUCUGGUGGUUGGGGCAGGACCAGCCUUGCUGAUCUCAAGGUAAGCCCUGUCCCUUGGUUCCUCUCACAGCCUCAUCUCUCCCAUGUGGUUCCUGCUUGCAGGUGGGUUUUGGGGUCCCACGAUGGCCUGGCAAAGGUCUGUGGGUUUGUCAUUCUCCUCAUGUGAAUUACAAAACAAAGCAUGGCAUACUAAUUUUAUGGUAAUUUGCUCUUGCUGCCUCUGUACACAGUUGAAAACUGCAGCUACCAUAAGUACCUGUUGAAAAAUACAGACAUGCAUCUGGACAGAAUAGAAACAUAAUGUUGCAGAAUUACUGCAGAAGUGUCUCACUACUGAGCAAAUCCUUUAAAUGUUUUCCCUGCUCAGUCUGAGCACAAAAAUGAACGGUCUGUUGCUGUAAAGCAGGUCUCAUUGUCAGGCUGCAUAAACAACACUCACCACUUAUUUCCUAGGAAAUGAAAUGCAUGAGGUAUAAUGCACAGUGCUUUGGCUUCCUUUCAUUCGAGUGCUUGUAUGCAGAAAUGAUGGAAAAGGGCAAUGACAAAAUGUCAUCUUUAUCGCUGAAUUAAGUUCUCCAGGACACAGACUGCCCCUUAUUUUUACCACGGCAAGAUUCACUGUGAAGAAACACUGGCUUCUGUUUUAACAGAAAUAAAUCAGGGUAACCAUAUGCUGAAUGCCAGCAGUACUGCAACAAGCAUUUUGUAUCUGUACAUCUGGUGAGUGCUAAAGCUAUUUUUUCCUUGGCCUCUAAAUAGAGCAGCACAUGCGUGCAAACUCCUACAAGGCAGCUAGGAAUUAGCAGCGCUUGCUGUCCUGGGCUGUGAAAAGUGUUACAGCUGAAAAAGGCAAUUGUUCCUCUGUAGUGCUGCGGCAAGAAGGCUUGGCAGCUUGCUGGAGAUUGCAUAGGAAGACGCUAAUUGCUCAAUUUCAUCCUCUUUUGUUGGGUGUUUUCCCUCUCACAGAGUCUUCUUUUUCCUUCCUCAUCUCCUCCAGACAGAGGCCAGGCACUGCAUGCAUCCUGCCAGGGCCGUGGGGAGGAAGUGGCACGUGGCAGGCGGGCUCAGCUAACACUACUGUGGACCAUGAUAAAAUGUGGGCAUCUCCUUGGUCAGAGAGCACAAGGUAAUCCAGAUUGUCUUUGACGGGCUUUAAAGUGGGGCCCAGAGUCUUCCUCUGGUCAGCAAGGUCUCUGCUGGUCAGCAAUCAAAGAUAGGUGCAAUGAGGUGACAGUGCUUGUUGAAAGAGAAUAGCUGAAUUCUGCUCUUGUGUGUCCUUCCUGUAGUAGUGGGUACAGAAAAAGAGGAAACGUAAUGUAGGUAUCCUUGUCAGUGCUGCACUCAUUGGAUCUAAAUCUUGUGUGAGAAAUCAAGAGGUCCUUAACUGUUCGCCAGUGUGAUCAGAAACUGCUAUUGUGUGAAUAGUCAUGUCCUCUUCCUGGCUCCCAGCUCCUAGAGAAACAAGGUGUGCUUCGAGAGCAGACACAGCUGUACUGGAACCAUGCUUGCAAUUCAUACUAUUGUUCUUGGCCUAAAAAGCAAGUGAUACAUGAAGUAGUGCUUUCCAGAGGUAAAAGCAUAAAAAAUUUCCCUUUACUUUACAGAACCAAGUUGUGCUGAGUCAAUGUCAGGGAACAACACACUGUAAUUGGUUCCCUGACACCCUGCAUGAAAGAGAGCUCCUUGCUGGUAGACAAUAAAGAAAAAAAGGUGUAAAACUGAAGUGUAUUUUGGGCUUUAUGGGCUGCUUAGGAUUUACAGAAAUGAAUUCCACAGCAAAAAGGUUCUCUGGGUUCAGUUUCCCUGUAGUCGUAAAUGUGAGUAUAAGAAUCUGGAUGACUUUCUUGAUGAAAACUUCUUUGAAUGUCUUCUUGGUAUGGAGAAUACAUAUGAACGUGGGCUCUCGUGAUGCUACCCGCUACUCCCUUUGUUUUGUCCAGACAAUAAUAAAAGUAAGAAGAGCUCUUUUGUCUGUUAUUCAGUAAGUCUACCAGCUGCAAUCAGGGAAUGUGAGAUGUUGGAGUGCAAAGAGGGUUCUAAUUUUGUUUGCCUUUUUUUACAAAGAAGAUAUUUGAUAUUCCGCAGGAAGUUAUACUUGUUUCCCCAUUUGAAAUAAGGCUCUGGUUUGGUUUUUCAUCUUAAUUUAUGUGAUUGCCUUUGCUUACUCCAGAGACAUUUAACCAUAGUAGCAGUGAGAGUUGGCUAUUUCGACUGGUAGAGUAACAAAGCACCCAAAGCUGCACUUUGGACCUCUGUGCAACUUGCUGCAUGAGAACCACAAAGGACUUCACAAAUGGUAAAAAGUUGCACGUCACAGUAUCUGAGAGAGAAAAGCUAUUGUUUUCCACAUCUUACAGAACGCAGGAGCUGAAAUGAAUGGUUUUAUGAAUAUGUCCCCUUAAGAAUAAAUGUAUUUUUACAGAGCACCUCAGAACUUCAGCAGGAUGUUACAAUAUGAAGGUCUUUAGGUACUGAAGCUGAACAUGUAGUUUUUAGGUGUAAUAGAGCUUUAAUCUCAUAGAGGUGUGUUCUUCUGGCUUUAUUUGCACAAAGCGUUAGAAGAAUAUGUCUGAAACUGUGCAACUGGUGAGUAGAAGACCUUGAUAGGAAACCCAGAUCUUCUCUCUGAAUCUCUCUGCACCUUCAUUUGUACACAAUUUAUUUUGACCUUGCUGAUGAGCUUAACAGAGCACUUAAGCGGGGCUUGUGUUUUGAACUAAUCUGUCAGGUUAGACAGGAAAAGAUGUUUCUACAAGGCUGAGCUGUUAACACUGUGUUGUUUGCUUGAAUGGGGGCAUGCCCCUCAAAUCAGUGUUCCUCCCUUCUCAAAUGUUAAGAAAGGGUGAGAAAAAUGUAUGGGAAAAUGUGAAUAAGUUCUGAAAUAUUCUUUUCUCUUCACCACCACACCUCGCUCCAUCUAAUUUCCUUCUGGGCAAAUCUACCUGGCAACUUUUCAGCUGUCACUGCUAGCUUUGUUAAAGAUGCCACAAUGUGCCAAGAGUAUGAUUCUAAAAACAUCUUAGUUGGCCAGGGCUGACACUGCUGCCAGUGCUGGGGGUUCCUAACUCCUGAUAAAAGCUUCUGGUCUAUGGAACUGUGGACUUAGGGCCUGUCAUGAUAUUGGCAGUUUGGGCACAGUGGGAUGGGGCCAACAGAAGAGGAGAGGAUGGAUCACAUAGUGGCUGGUGCAGCAUGCGUAGUAAGCCCUAGGUAGUGGGGAGCAAGAGAUCCAAAAGAAAAGAAGGGAGAAGUAGAAGUAAAAUCCUCCACAGCACCCUGGAUGUUUUUGCAUGCCUCCAGAACAGUGUAUAUUCCAAAACAAAUAAAAUUGGACAUGGUGUCAAACUGAGCUGCUUGCAUUUCCAGCAUCUUAGGCAAAGUGCUUCCUCAGUGCGCGCUAAGGGCUACGUUCAAACUUGCAGCAUUCUGUGCUCAGCCUCCAUAUGUUGAAUAUUUUAUUUGAGAUUUGAUUUACUUAUUGAGGAAGUAGACUAGAAAAGCUCCCAGUGUGUUGCCUCUGGUUACUAAUUUAAAUUGAGAUUAGAGCAGGAGACUAUCCAACAGCAUUAGUUUGCUUUAAAACUUGCUGCAUCUGGCACUGUCUCCUGGCUGGUGCUAGCACUCUCUUAAAUUGAAGAGAAAAGCCUGAGAGACUUUCUACAUCUGGCACAGAAGUAAGCUUGCAGUUGGAUUUUCCUGUGUGGAUGUUGAAUUUGCGACGGGGUUAACAUUUCUAAAGUUAUAGAAAGGUAUCUUCUGUCCCCCUUUUUUCACAUGUGCUUGAAGUUCUUCCUCUCUGUAGCAGGUAUAUAUUUGUGUGUAUAUUUUCUGUGGGAUGACCUCUGAAGGACUCCUUGAAGUGGCACCAGUGACUGGGAGAUGCAGCCUGGACGUAUUUCUGUCACUCUCUAUCUUGAAGCACUGAGGACAAGGCUGUACAUUCCCAUUUAAAUUGAGGGCACUCUGGGAGAAGGUGGAAAGGAAACCAAACAACCUUGUGAGUGAUGGUAGAUUGCUGACACUGCCAUAGUGAUCAUCCCAGGUUUUAGGACUCUCAGAAGUUACCCUGUGAAAAAAGCCAUCCGAAGCUGGGAAACUUAGGACUGUCCUGUUAUUACCCAGGGAGCGCAAGAUGAGCUCCACUUACAAACAACAUUUGAGCACUGUGUCCACCAAAAGGUUAUUCUUCAGUCAAGUUGCCCAGAUCUGAAAUGUGUUGUUGAACUGAAAUCAGUAAGGGGUAAGGCCUUCUGAGAAGCCUGUAAGAAUUUCAUGCUGCAGUCUGAAAGGCAAACUGCAGUAAAAUAUCACUCUACCCAAGUGCACUAAGGGCUAUAUUAUUAACCAAAAAGAUGAAUUUUUAUUAGGGAAAAGUAAAGCCAUGAGGUAGUGAGAUAAAACAGAGCAGAAAGAAUAUAUAUAUAUAUAUAUUUUAUCAGAAGAAAGCAUCACAAAUCAGAAUGGGAAAAAAAAACAGUCAAUUCUUGGAAAUUUCAAGUUAUCACUGUGUGGAAAGCCACAGGCUUUUAAAUAUUAGGAGAAACUGCAAUAAUACCUGGUUUGAAAAUACAGGCAUCUGACACAUGAGUUGAAGAAAAGUGUCACAGCUUAGCAAUCUCAGCCAAACAGUUCCAUCUACAGGAAUGCAUAGGUUCAUUAACUCACAAGCUCGUUUAUUAAAGUAUAUUUCUUAGUUUUUAAGUGUCAGUUAAGUAAACCGUGUGACUGAACUUGUCAAUGGAAAAGAUGUUUUAGCCUCGCUAUUUCUCCUUUGCCAGUUGGAUGACCUUGAAUGUGUCUUCUGUUCAGGUUCCCUCGACUCAUUUUGGCAUUUGUGGCUUUCUGCUCCUAUAUGGAUGUCAGCUCAGCCUCAUAAAAAAAAAAAUCUCCAUUUAUAGAACCAAUGUGAAUUCCUUUUCAAGGACAAAUGUUUCUGAUAUGGGAUUCACAUCCUCCAUGACACAAAGCCUAUUUGGUAGCAGAUUUUCACACUCUUCAGUAUUGCAAGAGUCUAAAAGUUGUCUUCCUCUGGAUACCUUGGUAUUUUACUCUGUGUUGCUGUUUUUGUCUUCCUUUGCACCUGUUGAGAGGUCAGGCUUAUAUCUAAAAACUUGCAGGGGAGUAAGAGAUUCUGGUAAAGAUUUCUAAUAAUUCUUUGUUCGCUUAUUGCAUUUUCUUCCAAGAGUGGUUGGUGGAUGUUAUUGGAUUUUACUUUCCCAAGAACAUCUUAAUUUUCACAGCCUCUCUCUACCUUACAGGUACUUUGCCAUCUGAUGAAAAGACAAGAUGAUACACUUCCAGAUAAUCUUGGUAGAAUUUUCCUCUGAACAUUUUGAUGCCUCUACAGGAAUUGCUUUUCCCUGCUGUUUCUAUUUUUCAACUUAAUUUUUGAGGUUCUCAGCCAACAGGAUUCUUGUCAUCUUUUCUACUCGUAGCUUACCUUAAAAUGGUAGGUGGAUGUGCGAUUCUAAAGAAAUUCUGCAGUCAUUUUAAAAUACAUUUUCAAGCUUCAUGUGGUGAUCUCUCUGGGAAAUCAAAUAGUAAAAUAGAGGAACUGAAAGUAUAUGGUGGUUCCAGAGCAGUUUAAUGAUAAAACAUCUCACCUAGUCUAGACCAGGUACAUUUCAGUUAUUAAUUUCCUUUAUAAUCAGUAGGCCAUUUUAAGGACUGAUUAAUUCCAACUUUUUAUUUAUUUUUCAUUUAUUCAUUCAUUUGUUUAAUAUAUAGAAGGUAUUUUUUCCCCUCCAUUGCAUGGAAAGGGAAUCCAAACAGCUUCUUUAAGGACAGUUGACCAAAGUUAGGUGAGAUGAACUAUAUGUGCUACAUAGCGUUACAUCAUUUUUCUUUGAGAUAUAAGGAUUUUAAUGACAGGAGCUUGAAUGCUUUUGCUGGGUUUCUCCUACUGGGAAACAUGUGAUGAAUUUGCUUAGAAUACUCAAUGCUUUUUUUUCAUCCAUUCUCAGCAAAGCAGAUGUCAUGCAAGACUGUUCAUUUUGCUCUGAGAAUCCCACUCAUUCAUGUUCCUCUUGAUGCCUUUAAGUUUUAUCCUUUACAGAUAUUUCUUUCACAACAACAACAAAAGAGGUGAUAUAGCUUUCCCUGAAUGUAUUAACACCUUUGCAUCCAAAUAGGGAUCUCAUCACGUAUUCUUCAAAUUUUUGCCAACUUUUUUUUCUACAUUCUGAAAAACCAUUAGCUAGGGAAAAAUCUGUGUGUGCUGUUUCAUUACUUCUUUUACCAGCAGGGCUCUGGAUGCACAGUAUGGGCUGUGCUCCUUGGAUAUGUAAGAAUCACCAGUAGUAGACUGUCAUCUAAUCUCAGCAGGUGCUGGAGGAGGCAUGGGCUGGCAGUGAGUGUUAUAGGUAAGUUCCAGUAGCUUAUUCAUUGGUCAGCCCUGGCUUGCAGGCUCCUAGUACAGAUGAAAUAGACUUCAGGAGAAUCUGUGUCUCCUGAGCCUCUACAGUAGCUUGUUCUUCUGAUAGCACUUUUCCUUGUCCCAGUUUCACUUUUUACCCAUCUUCACAUCCUUGAUCACUUCUUCCCAGUCUCUCUCAGGAUCCAGCAGUUCUGUUGUCUUGGAUAAGCGGGAAUAUGUGGAAUAGAUCCUUACCACAGGAUAUAAGGGAUAGAUGGGAUAUAAGGCUGCAUUUGAAUUAUACCUUAAAAAUGAAAAAUGGCAGCCUCAUCAGUUUGUUUGCUGUGGCAUUCAAACUGAAGCUGCAGCUUCCAUUUCAUGUUGAUAGGAAACUGUUGGAGGGGGAGAAAUUCUGUGCUAAUAGGAGAAAUUCCUGUCAGUCACGCCAGAGCAUUAGGAAACAUUAUGAGAUCUUGAUGAAAUCUGCCAAAAAGUAUAUGCUAUCAUAUUCUAAAUACUCAGCUAUCUUUAGUAGUGCAUUCCAGAGAUUUUUAAAUGCUGGCUUCAUUAGAAAACAAAAACAUAUGAAUAGAUAUUUUCAGUGCAGUCACAUUUCCUAGCAGAAAGAGUUGUCACAAAACAUUCAUUCCGCUUUUGUGCAUUUUUUGUAUUAAAACACUAAUGAAUUUGUAUGCUAAAACAAGCCUUCCUUAAUUAUGUAUGAUUUGUAUUCAUUAGACCCCAGAGGGAAGGGGGAAGACCAUGUGACCAGUUAUCUUGUUACCAUGCGUAAAAUGAUAACGACAUUAGCAAUGGCCAGGCACCAAAUUGGAAGCAAGAUUAUUGUAACUCAAGGGAGAGAAUAUUGCUGGAGUGUUUUGGUGCCUAGUGCCUUUCUCUGAACUUUGCAGGCAGAACAACUGCAGUGAGCAUGACAGCCUCCAAGCCAUCUCCAAACUAGGGCUAUUAUAGGAAUAUCACAUCUGUGCUUGUACUGCUUCACAGCUGAGGAAAUGGCUCUGGAGCAGGUGGGCUGUUUCAAUUAUGCAGUGGCUAGGAAGGACCCAGGGAGUGCUGCAGGAGCUGGUUUUGGUCAAUGAGGACUGCGCUGGUACAAAUUUCAGAACAUCCAGAUCAUUUCAAAAACGUGAAGGUUUAGAAUACACUACAUUUCUGGUCAUCUUGUGGCAAAGUGAUGCAGUGCUGCAAGAACCAGAAGCUGUUGGAUAGCUUCUCAAAGUCACCUAAGGUGUUUUUACAGAUGUGCCAUUGCUGAUAGUUAUUUAAUCCUUCAGCAGUUGAGAACGCACUGAAAUGUUUGGACAGGCUAUACACCUCAAGAGUGGCUGGAGCUAAGUUAGGUUUUAGAUUACUUUAGGUGUCGAUCAAGUUAUUACUUGACAGUAAUGGGGCCACAUGCUUUUUACAUUCUCACUGUACUACCAUAUUCAUCCCAGACUUUCAAGCAUAGUUUGGGCCUAUAAGCAUAUCAGCACAAUAGCAUGUGAGAUUUAUCCUAGAACCAUAACAACACAGAAUAUUGUGAGUUGGAAUGGACCCACAAGAAUCAUUGAGCCCAACUCCUGGCUCCACACAGGGCCACUCAAAAUCCAAAUGUCACUCAAAACCCUAUGUCUAAGAGCAUUGUCCAAAAUGCACCUUGAACUCUGGCACUUGGGCUGUGCCCACUGCCCUGGGCAGCCCGUUCCAUGCCCACCACCCUGUGGUGCAGACCCUGUCCCUAACCCCCAGCUGCCCCUCCCCUGACACAGCUCCAUGCCGUUCCCUCGGGCCCUGUCGCUGUCACACAGAGCACAGCUCAGUGCUGUCCCUCCGCUCCCUGUGAGGAGCUGCAGCCGCCAUCAGGCCUCCCUCAGCUCCUCUGCUCUGGGCCCAGCACACCAAGGGGCCUCAGCCAUUCUACAUACAUCUUUCCCCCCAGGCCUUUCCCAGACCUCUUAUCUUCCCAAGUAAAUAAAUAAUGCUAAAAUAUAUAUAUUAAAAAAAAAAAAAGCGAAGCCUGACAAAAUACAAACUCUGAUAAUUCAUAUUUUUUUCCUAUUGCUACUGUGCAAGAGCAGGGGAGGCAUUUGUAUUUGUUGAAGUGAGAUUCAGAAUACCUAUAAUGGGAACACCUUCUCUUUUAGGCUCUUGUACGUCCAAAGCAGCAAAAGUAGUUAUCCAGUUUUCUAUCAUUCAAAUUAAGACUUAGUGCUCUCCUGUCCAUCCUGUCUGCAGCUGUCAGUCUAGUGUGCAGUGUAAGCUUGCCAAGAAUUUUCAAUUGGGACCUGUCAGUUAAGAUCAUAGCAAAGUCUUGUGAUUGUCAGUCUCCUUUGGAACAAAACGCUAUCUGUUAGUAUCGUCUUGCUUUUCUCUCAAGGCUUUGAAAUCACUGGAAUAUAGAUGUCACUGUUCUGGGCCGUAUACGUGUGCUGAGAGAGCAGUACGUUCUGCUUCCCUCUCCUGGGCUGGCUAAGCUCUCUUAACAAAUGCACAUUCCAGGGAAAUGUGGUUCAAAUUAUCAUAACAAGCCUUUUAAUGCACCAAAGGCAAAUUGUGUCUAUUUUUAUUAUGGACAAUUUUUUCUGUUAUGAUAAAAGGAGUAUUAAUCAUAGUUAUAAAGGGAAUAUCAUAUGACAUCUGUGUAGUCCUCUCUUUAUAAUAGCCGAAAAAACAUAUCUCAUGAAAAUACAGUGAACCUCUUCACAGUAUUUAAAAUAUUUGAUGUAUUCAUGAUAUUGUCAGUAAUCUCCUAUGACUUCAAAACUGUACAGAGACAUUGUAGUCUGUUUUUUUUUUGUUUUUGUUUUUAUUUUCCCCCCAAAUGUUCCAUUGUCCUGCAUAUUUUGGCCUUUUUUUCUUUUUUUUCUUUUUUUUUUUUUAAGAGAAGAAUUCUAUUUAUUUCCUGUAAUUUUUUAUAUCACUUGCUAAGCUAGGAAAUACAAUAAAUGAGUAGUUUUGUACCACUUUUUUUUCUGCCUAAUUAUCCUAUGGAGCUGGGGAAUGUAUUUUAUACCAUUGCUUUUUCAUUCUGUUCUUCUAUAUAAAUACUGCUCUUUUGGGAUUUCUGACAUUUUUUUCCUACUUGUUCCUGAUGACUUUGGGAUAGAGCUGUCUGUCACUUAUAGGCUGAAGAGCUCAGGUCAUGAACAAGAUCCUUUGAUCUUUCUUCCAGGCAGAGGUAAGGCAGGCACUCCUUUGGAAAGCAGGACAUGACUCUGCAGGCAUACAAAGUGGUUAUGAUAAGCUGGAGGGUACUGAUAGAGUAAUAUCACCACUAAUGCUAUCAGGGGUGAGGGGCAUUUAUCUUUUAAUGAAACCAAUUAUCUAUUCAUUAGCUUUUUAUGCAUUUAUUAUCCAUUCUUUGGCCUUUCUGUUUGGUGUUAGGAACACUUUCAUUCUCCUUUGAACUUUCCAAAUGUAUAUCCUUGACUUGCUGCAUGCUGCAUGUGACUAGGAUUUACCUUUGGAAGCCAGGUAUGUGGAGGGUCAGAAAGAAUGUUGGAAAUUCUGGUAAUACCAGCAUGGUGGCCUAGGAAGAUUUCUUCUUCUGAGAGCCUGAACUGUCUUAAAAUUGUACCUUGGUACGUUUUGCUUUGCAUUAAAAGAUGCAAAGGUGUUAAGAUACAAUGCUUAAAGACUUGUGUUUAUUAUUAUUAUUAACUUUACUUAGUCUGUAAUGAGUACAAGAUUUCCCUGAUAGUUCCAGCAUGGCUCAGCAAGACCAAUAUGUUCAGGUGCUUUAGAGACCUAGAAAGCAUUUAUCAUGCUCAAUACUUGCCUUUAGACUUGAUUUAUUACCAUACAACAUGCAAUAAGCUAGUGCUGCCUGGAAACCCUCUGUAAAACAGAAGUUUUCACUUCUGAAAAUUCUUUGAGUUAGUUCCUUCAGCUGGGUGAUACCUACCCAAAGUAACUCCCUUCCUCAGGACAAGUGCCACCCCCACCUCUGUUUUGCUUACAGAUAAGUCUUUUUCCACAUAGGGAAGUUUCUGUGGUGUGCUGGUUUUGCAGUUCUAAUGAAGAACUAUGCUGCAUUCAGCCAGGGUUACAGUCUCCAGUUACAGCUUUUUCUCCACUUAGGUGAAUGUUUUGGAGGAGAACAUGGAGUUGGUUUUAUUAUCUUUGUGGCUGUGUGUGCAUAUGUGUCUGUACAAAUGAACCUAACCUUGUGUGCUCAUUUUAGCAUCUGUUAUUUUCAGUCUUUGCUUUCAGAUAUAAACACUUAACACGUUCAGUCUUGGUUUUGGGAAAACAUUUGUGAAGGUACUUUCAAGCCUGUGGCAAAAAAAUUGACUCCUUGAGGACAGAUGGGUUCCAGCAGUUCAGCUAACAUAUCACUAUGGUGAAAUGUGUCCCAAGGAUUACUCGUGGCCUUCAGCAGGCUGAAUUUAUUUACUCCCUGUGCUGUUGACAUGGCCCAUGGGCCAAUUUCCCAAAAAGAAAGAUACUAGUUAAAAAAUAUACUGACCCGCUCUACCACUUGCCUUUACUGUGAUUGUACCUACAUCUCCCAGCUUUUGGCUGAGUUCAGCAUGGCCUUAAUUGGCUCUUCCUGCAGUGGUCUUUCUUCCUGUUUUAUGGCAGUGUUUGUUGAGAGAGGAUGCAACCUUCCCAGUGGGCCAAUGUUGAACAUCACCUGCUGUGGGCUCUGCCCCUGGUCAGGCUGCAGAUUGGAGUCCUGUUCCAGUGCUUCACAUAUUCAAACUUACCUCAUAUCAUUAAUCAAUUUGACUGCCUUAAAAGGCUAAAAAUAGGCAGAUGACCCUAUACUAAAAAAAUGUGAACGCUGAACUUUCCAAUAAUCUUUUGUCCAGCUGGUCAAAUCCUCAUUUAACCAUACAGACAGUAAAACUUCAGGUAAAAAAAAUAUCUGAAGCUGUUAAAAAUAAACAGCGGAGCUAUGUUUUGCCAGCUAUCUUGUUGUCUAUUUUUGAGAUGUCUCUGUGGGCAAGGAUUUCAUUACACUGAGCUCAAAUUAAAUUUGGUGAAAAAUUCAAGAGUACAGCUAUAAGUCAGCUUCUUUUCAGGAUAGGGACUGCUAUCUUUGCCCAGGCACGUGGAUGCUACAGCAAAGGAUAAAGUUUAACCCAGAUAUUCCUGCAGCUGCUGAUACCUCAGAAGGAAGUGCUGGCAAUGGCGAGACUAGAAGCUGCUGUGAGUAUCCUCAUCCUCAGGGCAGCAAACUGUGUUGCUUCCUACCCUCCUCUAAGUCCUUGAGCCAGUCGUGUCCCUCCUGUCCAUCCUCAGGGGAUGAGGUGAGAGCAGAAGCUCUCCUUCCUGAUUUUUCUCCCUUUCUUGGAGGGAACUCUGAAGUAAAAUUGACGUAUUGGCCCCACAGACUUGUGGGGACUGAAUGGAAGGGGAUGAGUGGUGAGUGGACCCUGUGCUGAGCUGCAGCUGGUGAUUGUCUCCAGCAGAAAGAAAGGGACCUGCAUCAAGAGGUCGUUAAGCUAGAGAAGGAGAAAUCAAAAUAAAAGGUACGUACUUCUGAUGUAGCAUCACCUGCUUGGAGAUUUCUGUAACAGGGAUGCAACUCCUGAUACCACGUGAGAGGGGGCAGAUAGAUAAAACAUUCAGAAAUAAUUGCACUACAUUUCAUUUGCUGUUAUUCAAAUCAUGUUGCCUUAGCCCUUGUGUUCAGUUAUCUGAUGGCUGCCGAACAAAAUGCAGAGCAGUAGGUAAAAAAUGCAGGCCCAGCUCUGGGAGUAACUUAGCACCUCAGGUUUAUCAGUUGUGGACUUAUCCCUGGGAGGAAAGCGGAUCACCCCUUCACCAGGGUUAGCAGGAGCUGCCAAGGAGCUGCCCCUGACCAGCCCAGCAGGGUCUCCUGUGCAUGCACCAGGCCUGCUCUACAUGGGAGCCGCAGCAGGGCCCAGUCCGCUUCCAGCCCUGUUGGAGGCCGGAAGGACAAGCAGAGUGAGUCCUGGUGCUGCCUCCUGACUGCUAGGAGACACAUCACAGUUGUAGGCCACCCAGGUCUGCUCGCUGCUCUGCCUAGUGGCCAGCCUCAGUUCUCUGUGGGCACAGCUUGGGAUGGCAUCGUCUCUGAUACUGCAGAAGAUGAUCUGGCUUUCAGAGAGAGCAAGGACAGUGACAACACCCAAAUCUGAACCCUGGUUGUUUUUUUCAGCCAGUGCUACCACCUGUUUUAUAGCUGAUUGGUUAUGGUGCAGGGUAGGACUUGUGGGGAUUUAUUUCCUCAGCUGUAAGUCUCCCAGACCCUUCUCAGUAGUGGCACUGCUGGCAGUGAGCUUGUCUCUCCUCCUUGCCACUAAUAUCAUUGUUUCAGUAGCAUUGCUUUAUUGCUUAUUAGCCAGAGCUGAAGGCAAGCACCAUUUUAAUACAUAGAAAAAAAUCAAAAUCUUAAUUAAAAAAGAACCUUGUGGUAAAAUCCUGUCCCAGCUGUAAACAGUGGGAGGUUAAACCAUUGACUUCAAAGCAGCUGGGAUUAUACCUGUUAUCCAAUACAACAUCAGCUCCCUUCUGCUCUUCCUUCGCACAGACAGCAUUCAUCCAGGCUCACUCCUCACGUGCCCACGCUCACUGUGAUAAUGUAAGCCUCGACCAGCUGAAUUUUCAUCAUGUGAAGUGUGGGCAGCUCAUGGCCAAACUGUCUCAGCCCAUGAUUCCAUGCAAGGCCAAAGAAGAAUGGUACCUGAUGACUGUCUGGCUGCUGGUGCUUGGUCACACAGAAAUGCAGUAUUCUGAUGGAAGACCGUAUACUUCUCAUUUGAGAAACAACUGCCAGGGAAAGAAAGUACCUCUGAUGCAGCUGCAGUUGUGUCAUGGCAGCAUUCUUCCCUGUCACUCUAGUGCUGGCAGCCCCCACACCACCUCAGAUCCUCCUUUGGAGCCAUCCUAGCCCAGAUCCCUCCACUUCCUCAGUGAGCAGAAUCUGGCCAUUCCCAGUCCAAGACAACUUCUUGCAGACAGGCUCCCGCUCUGCCAGGCCUCUGUUCUUGCAGGUGCAGAUCUGGCUUUUCACUGAAGAUCCCCCACCUUCCAAAAAGGGAAGCAAGAAGAAAAUAGAAUCUGCGAUGCUCUCAUUCUGGUCUCUCUCUCCCCGCAGUGGGCUGUGCUACUGUGCACUGCACAGUCUGCCUGGCCGAGAGCAGCUGUGGCUGUCAUCUGCUAGCGUGGUGUCCAAAUUAAGACUGAUUGCAUUUCCAUCUACCCAGUUAUCUGCUGUCAGCCUCAAAUGUGGCGAGCAAUUGGCGAAGUUUUGGCCUGGAAUUAGCUGGUUUAACCUUGAAUAAAGUGAGUAAAUAUAUAAAAUAGCAACUGGAGUUUGGUGAUGACCAAAUAACAUCUGCAAAACCGCUUCAUCUUCCAGCUGGCACUUCUCAAGGGGCAGCAACACAAUUGAAAUUGAUGGGAGGCUGGCAGUACAUUAGCUUCGUGGGCUGAAUUCUGGCAGAGGACCCAAAUACCUGCACAGUGUAUGUGAAGAAAGACUGAGAGCAACCACACUGCUGACCAUUGGCAUGGAGCUAAUGCUCCACAGAGCAGAGAUGGAACCAGUGCGAGAUGUAACCAGUGUGCCUCCUUCCUACCUCCUUCCCCUUUAAGAGCCAUAUCAGCGUAUGAUUUUCACCACUGGCAGUGUGCAGCAUGGUGUACAUUACAGAAAACUUUGCAUCCUGUUCCAGCAGACCUUAUUAGCACUCCACAGAGGACUCUUUGACAUAUUACGGACAGCACCGGAAAACAUUGGUCUUUAAUAAAUAAUGUACAAACACAUGGACACACUUCUUGAGCAGCAAGAGGUCAAACAAGAUAUUACAGUGAUAUCCCAUGGUGCGAAAUAGAUAUGUGGAAAUAAUGACUGUUGUCAUCAACAAGCACUCUGUAUGCAGGAACGUGGCAGAGGAAAAACCCUUCAGUUCCCAGCUCCAUGAGUGGAGAAGGCAGAAGAAGGCGUACUCAGUCAACAGCGCUGUUUGCAGACCCUAUUGCUUCCACUACCACACCUGAAGACCUAGGAUCCUGAGUCUGAAAUGAAGCCCUCUUCUGUAGAUGUGUAGCCCCUCAGGUUUGAGUUGUUAGAGUCAAGCCCUCAGAUGAUGGAAGCUCACAAGACUUUGGUCUCCUCUGGCCAGCAGGCAUGACUUGCUUUACCCUCAGAUUUUUUGCUGAUCCCAGUAUGUCAGCCCUGUUUGUCAGUGACCGUAAAAAGAAUCAAGAACAUUAAACAUUAGGCAAUGCUCA